AGGACGUCAACUGCCAUAAAAGAAGAAUAAAGAUCGUUUGUUUUGGGUGCCAAAAUGAAGACUCAGCAGCAGCAGUCAGUCAGAAGAACUCUCUCAGACGGACACCACGUUAUUAAAGUCCAUCAUCCUUUCAUGCGCUACACAGCAUUGAUAAAUGCUGAAUUUAAAAGAAUCACUACUGUCUAAUGUUCCUGUGUCACCUGGACCUCCAAUCCAAAAACCUGAUGAAACUCUUCUAUCAGAAAGGAGGACAGCUAGCAAAAACACUUGGAACAAUCAAUGAUCAAAUGACAGAAGGCAUGGAUGAAGUCAGCAUCAGUGAGGUCAUUUGAAGACACCAAUGUUGGGAUUUGUGCUCUCAAACAACAUGCUUCUUGUGAUGAAGAAGAGGAUCUUUGUAUAGUCCUGGAAGCCAUGAAGGUGUUGCAACAUCGUGUUUGAGCUGAUGUAUGCCUUAAACCUGAGCUAUCCUGAUCUCCGCUUUAUUUUUGAGGAAAUCCAAACUGCAUUGAGAGUAACUUUAACGAACAGUUUCUUUCAGUGAAAGGAUCAGAAAGACUGUGCUGCUCAUUUAUGUUCUUUUUAUUUAUCUGUUUUAAGUGUUUUCUCUUAUUAAAACAUUAACAGUUUGCUGCUCCUAGUUGAUUUUGGAAAUGGUUGUUGUAUUUUGUUUUUGUUGAAUCUUUGAUUAUCAGUUUAUACAAGUGCUGUUGCUCUGACUUUCUGAAGGAUUGAUAUUUUCCAGUUUGUAAAUCCAUUUUAAAAAUAAUAGUACUUACUGUUUUGCAUGUCUCUUUGGAAUGCAGUGUUUGUGUUUUAGCACUUCUAAAUCUACUGUGAUAGUAACUAUUUUAAACAUUUGGGUCAGUUUUACAGAUGGGGCUUUUCCUAGUCCCAGACUUUUGCAAUGCCUUAAUUUGAAAACUUAUUGCACUGACAUAUCUUGACAUAUAUCAGUGCCAUUGUUUUGUCUCAAGAUGUACUCCAGUGUUG